rfam:Schistosoma mansoni strain Puerto Rico chromosome 5, complete genome
AUCCAGCUGAUGAGUCCCAAAUAGGACAAAACGCGCGUCAAACUGGAU